GGAAAGACGUAUUAUGUUGCCAAUGGAAGAUGUAUUGUUGUUCCUCUAAAGAAAAGAUUGUUAAGAUGUGUUCCAUCUAACGCCAAACCGAUAUUGUCAACAUAUUCUGGUAUAGAGAAAGAUGUUUUUGGGGUUGACAUGUAUUACUUCAAAGAAGAUGGAGUACAGACAACUCUUACUGUGAUGAGAAGGGGGUGUGUCCCUAUAGCGGAACACCUUGAAUCAUGUAAUGCGGACACUGAUGUUAAUUAUUAUGGACUUAGUCUUGGUAUAAGGAAUGCCACACAAUUUGCCAUUCCUAAAGCAUGUAAGAAGGCAACCGAAAUGUCUAUAAUACCAGAAGAAAUGGACCAUCUGAAGUAUUUGAGGUUUUCAUCUAUCUUCUAGUAGAAACAACAAAUAAUGACUAAUUUUUGUUUUGAAUAUAUUAACUUUGAACUACAUAUCAAAAUAAUCAAUUGAUUAUACAGAUAGAUACUUUUGUUUCAAACCACUUACUUUAAAGGAGCAAGGUCGUGCUAAAUGAUUAUAAAUAUAUGAAAUACAUUAUAAUUGCAUUUUAUAGCAUUUUUAAUUCUUACAUUUGAAAGGAUGCUAACUUCAUGUGAUUGUUUGUCGAUUUGAUUAAAAAAUAUUAUUUUUAAAUAUAUUAAUUCAUUCAAUUUGAUUAACUGGAAGUUUAACAGGUCGAAUAAUAAUUCCUUAUGGUAAUAUUCUAGAAUAAAGAAUUUGUUUCAAAUAGAUAUGAUUAUAAACACAAAAAUUGCAAUUAGGCGUGGUACAUAAAUUUGACACAAGUCAAGUUCACCAAAAUAAGGAAUAAUGAUGGCACUAUCAUGUGACGAGGGAAAAAACGCUUAUAUGACACAAGCUCAAAAUAACUAGGUGGG